rfam:Cyphomyrmex costatus contig13530, whole genome shotgun sequence.
ACAACAGUAGUCUAAUUGGUUAGGACACUUGCACGUAAAGCAAGGUAUUCGAGUUCGACUCCCGGCUAAGGUA